rnacentral:lncRNA from 1 species
UUUCAUUUUACAGAUGAGGAGACUGAGGAUUAAAAAGAUUCAAGAACUAGCCCAAAUUAACAUAACUAGUAGGUGACAGACAGAGCUAAGACUCAACACAAGUCUGUGUGAUCCAGAAGUCCCUGAGACUGUACUCAUACCUUUCGCAGAGUACAUGCUGAGCAUAUGCUUAUGAAUUAAGGCGAUGCCUACUACCACAGCAAUUGAGGUGGACAGCACACAGCAUAAUGGCCUCCAAAGAUGUCCAUGUUAUAAUUGCAGGAGCCUAUGAAUUGUUACAUCACAUUCCAAAGGGGAAUUUAGGAUGCAAAUGGAAUUUAGUUGGCCAAUCAGUGCACAGGGAGAUUAUCCCGGUCCACCUAGGGGAGAGGGCGGCAAGAUCAGGAGUCCUUAGUGGAAGAGCAGAGCAGAAGAGAGAACCAGGAGUGACACAAUGUGAGAAGAAUGUGACCUGUGAUUUGUGGCUCUGAAAAACGGAAGAACGGGCCCCCAUUGGCAGCCUCCAGACACUAGAAAAGGCCGCGUAGGGCUGGGCUGCACCGUGGACUCUGGAGCGGGGCCACCGUGUCCAGGAAUCCUGACUCCUCCAGCACCAGCGAUACGACCCGACCCUGUGCACAUUCAGCAACAUCUCCGGCUCGGCUUUCUGGGAAAGAGAAAGUACUUCUUCGUAAGGCUGUCAUACGGAUUGUGUUUGCAAGAGUCCCGGUAGUAAAAUCAAUACCACAUUAAGGGUAUUUCUUGGCUCUUUGAAGUUAAGUAUGAGACACCUGGAGCUCAGAAAUGAGACACGUACUCGAUGAGGGACAGACUGGCCAUGGUGUCUGUUAGUCCUUGUACUUUCUGCCCUGCCACGUUCCUUCUGAACUCUCCGUGCCGUCCUUAUUCUCCCAUCCGGAGACGAAACAGGCUGUCCUCCCCGCUUCCCACUCGGAGCCCCCACAACUCUGAACAACCAGGAAAACUGAAAGGUGCGCCCGCCCUCCCGCGCCAGGCGUGCCCUCGGGAGAAGAAGCCAACAGGUUUGCGCUUCGCCCCGAGCGCACUGGGUCUCCCCGGAGCUGCCGCGCAGAAGCGCGAAGCUCCCAGCACUGCCGGGUGCUGCGUGGCGCAGUGCACGCUCCGGACGCCUGUCCCUCGCUGCCUACCGCCGAGAGCUGCGGGGUGGAAUCCCGCCCAGAUGGGGAGGAAGGCAGUUGUUUUCCUCCUGGUGGAACGUUCCACUUGAAACGGUUCCACAAGGGCUGUUCUCGCCUCCGACUCCGGGAAGAACUGUAAUUAACACAGCAACAAACGCCCACGCCGCUAACUGGCAAAGGGAGUGUAACACGAGCCGCCGCUCCAACCGAAUUGGGCCAAUUGCUUUCCCUUCUUGCCUCCCAUUUGGUCUGUUUGGGUUCCGCAGUCAUCCAACUGUAGCGUUUCUUAAAACAUGUCAGUGGU